GACGAACGCUGGCGGCGUGCCUAAUACAUGCAAGUAGAACGCAGUUGCGAACGGGUGAGUAACGCGUAGGUAACUGCCUCAUAGCGGGGGAUAACUAUUGGAAACGAUAGCUAAUACCGCAUACUGUGAGAUGGACCUGCGUUGUAUUAGCUAGUUGGUGCGGUAAAGGCUCACCAAGGCGGCGAUACAUAGCCGGCGUGAGAGGGUUGUCGGCCACACUGGGACUGGGAACCGGGCCAUGCUCCCACGGGAGGCCGCAGUAGGGGAUCUUUGGCAAAUGACGGAAGGCCGACCGAGCAACGGCGGGUGAGUGAAGAAGGUCUUCGGAGCGUAAAGCUCUGUUGUGAGAGAAGCGGUACCCAACCAGAAAGGGACGGCUAACUACGUGCCAGCAGCCGCGGUAAUUC
rnacentral:rRNA from 1 species